rnacentral:rRNA from 1 species
ACGUGAGCAACCUGCCCUAGGCUUUGGGAUAACCCUCGGAAACGGGGGCUAAUACCGAAUAGGACCUGUGAUCGCAUGGUGUUUGGUGGAAAGUUUUUCGGCCUGGGAUGGGCUCGCGGCCUAUCAGCUUGUUGGUGGGGUGAUGGCCUACCAAGGCGACGACGGGUAGCCGGCCUGAGAGGGCGACCGGCCACACUGGGACUGAGACACGGCCCAGACUCCUACGGGAGGCAGCAGUGGGGAAUAUUGCACAAUGGGCGGAAGCCUGAUGCAGCGACGCCGCGUGAGGGAUGACGGCCUUCGGGUUGUAAACCUCUUUCAGCAGGGACGAAGCGUAAGUGACGGUACCUGCAGAAGAAGCGCCGGCCAACUACGUGCCAGCAGCCGCGGUAAGACGUAGGGCGCGAGCGUUGUCCGGAUUUAUUGGGCGUAAAGAGCUCGUAGGCGGCUUGUCGCGUCGACUGUGAAAACCCGCAGCUCAACUGCGGGCCUGCAGUCGAUACGGGCAGGCUAGAGUUCGGUAGGGGAGACUGGAAUUCCUGGUGUAGCGGUGAAAUGCGCAGAUAUCAGGAGGAACACCGGUGGCGAAGGCGGGUCUCUGGGCCGAUACUGACGCUGAGGAGCGAAAGCGUGGGGAGCGAACAGGAUUAGAUACCCUGGUAGUCCACGCUGUAAACGUUGGGCGCUAGGUGUGGGGGGCC